CCUUCUCCAGGGACCGCCUGGACGCGCUGGCUUCCCGGGAGACAAAGGAUUCAUGGGGAUUCCGGGAAGAAUGGGGGCGCCAGGGGAGCCUGGUCUAUCUAUCAUUGGCCCACGAGGACCUCCUG